rnacentral:rRNA from 1 species
GACGAACGCUGGCGGCGUGCUUAACACAUGCAAGUCGAACGGAAAGGCCCUUCUUUUUUUUUUUUCUCGUUUGGCGCUCGGGUGUGUAUCCCGUGUGUAUCCUUCCCUUUUCUUUGUGAUAUCUUCUGUUAACUUGGGCUAAUACCUGAUAUGUUCUCCUGCUGCAUGUUGUUGGUUGGUAAGUUUCGGCGGUUGGGGAUGGACUCGCGGGUUAUCAGCUUGUUGGUUGUGUAGUGGCUUACCAAGGCUUUGACGGGUAGCCGGCAUGAGAGGGUGACAGGGGACAAUGGGAAUGAGAGACGGACCAGACUGGUACGGGAGGCAGCAGUGGGGAAUAUUGCAGAAUGGGGGGAAGGCAGAUGAAGAAACGCGGGGAGGGGGAAGACGGGGUACGGGUUGUAAAAAGAAUUAGAAUGAGACGAAGAGAGAGUGACGGUAAUGGGUAAAGAAGCACCGGCUAACUACGUG